AUUGAACGCUGGCGGCAUGCCUUACACAUGCAAGUCGAACGGUAACAGGUCUUCGGAUGCUGACGAGUGGCGAACGGGUGAGUAAUACAUCGGAACGUGCCUAGUAGUGGGGGAUAACUACUCGAAAGAGUGGCUAAUACCGCAUGAGAUCUACGGAUGAAAGCAGGGGAUCGCAAGACCUUGUGCUACUAGAGCGGCCGAUGGCAGCUUAGGUAGUUGGUGGGAUAAAAGCUUACCAAGCCGACGAUCUGUAGCUGGUCUGAGAGGACGAUCAGCCACACUGGGACUGAGACACGGCCCAGACUCCUACGGGAGGCAGCAGUGGGGAAUUUUGGACAAUGGGCGCAAGCCUGAUCCAGCAAUGCCGUGUGCAGGAUGAAGGCCUUCGGGUUGUAAACUGCUUUUGUACGGAACGAAAAGCCCUGGGUUAAUACCCUGGGGUCAUGACGGUACCGUAAGAAUAAGCACCGGCUAACUACGUGCCAGCCGCCGCAGUAAUAC
rnacentral:rRNA from 1 species